GACGAACGCUGGCGGCGUGCUUAACACAUGCAAGUCGAACGGAAAGGCCUCUUUCGGGGGGUACUUGAGUGGCGAACGGGUGAGUAACACGUGAGUAACCUGCCCUUGACUUUGGGAUAACCUUAGGAAACUGGGGCUAAUACCGGAUAGGAGCUCCUGCUGCAUGGUGGGGGUUGGAAAGUUUCGGCGGUUGUGGAUGGACUCGCGGCUUAUCAGCUUGUUGGUGGGGUAGUGGCUUACCAAGGCUUUGACGGGUAGCCGGCCUGAGAGGGUGACCGGCCACAUUGGGACUGAGAUACCGCCCAGACUCCUACGGGGAGCAGCAAGUGGGAAUAUUGCACAAUGGGUGGAAGCCUGAUGCAGCAACGCCGUGUGCGGGAUGACGGCCUUCGGGUUGUAAACCGCUUUCGCUCAGGACGAAGCUUUAUGUGACGGUAGUGGGUAAAGAAGCACCGGCUAACUACGUG
rnacentral:rRNA from 1 species